rnacentral:lncRNA from 1 species
GUGUAACUAAUUUAUACAGUAUAUUUAUCCCAUAUAAAUACACUUUACAUUACAAUAAUUAUAGAAAAUACCCUUCAACAACAAAAGAAAGACAGACACUUUGCAUACUCCCGAAUCUCAUUCUGAAAUUUUAUCCAUAACCACAUCAAAUAUGCACCAAAUCAUCCUAAAUUCAAAAUACUCUCAAACAUUUAGAACCACACCCAAUAUGAAAUUAUUUUAAUUUUUCAAACCCAAGAUUCAACAUUGAAGCUUCAAGUCUUUGAUAGUCUUCGUCAAAAGGUGGAAUCAGAGAUUGAGUUGAUUCAAGAAAACUUUCACUCGUCAAAGAUUUAUGUUUCUAUUUCGUUGUAAUUCCAGAUUCAAAGUUGCGAUUUUUCAAGCUGCCUUUUUCUUCUUCUUUGUAUCUAUCUACAUUGUAUUUCGUUGUAUGAGAGAGAAUACAGUUGAUACAUCUUUAUUAUCAAAACUAUAUUUAUUGAUACAACUGUUUCAUCAAAACCCUAUUCAUUAAUACAACUAUUAUACACGAACAAAUACAGUUAAUAUAACUAUGCGUGAACCAAUACAGUUGGCACAACUUUUCCAUCAAAACUAUUUUCGUUAAUACAACCUGGCAACAAAUUGAUACAGCGAGACCUUUGUACAGCAAAAUUGAUAUAUUAGCUAUGAAUGAUAAUUAGGUAAAUUAUAAUUGUGUAUGGUACGUAAUUAUACUCUAAAAUAUUAUGCUUAAUGAACCAGAUUAGUUAACUUACAAUUACAUGAUUAAGUUGGAUAAAAAUACUACUGUAAUACAUUAUGAGUUGUGAAUGCUGUCAAAAUAAUAUUGGAACCCUUUUUAAAUACUAGUAAUAAAUACGAUAUACAUUACUUUGGGGGGAUUUGCCAUUAUGGACCUCUUUCAACUUUCGAAUUCGGAAUUAGAGCCUGAUAUCAAAAAGUCUACUCUCUGUCAAACUUUCUAAAAAUCUAACUUUUGUCAAUUCAAGACUAAUUCGAUUACGGACCUCCAAAUUAUAAUGCGUACGCGCUCCUAAGUUCAAAAAUCAUCCAGCAGAGCUAGCAGAAUUGACGAAACUCCAUUUCGAGUUCAAAUGCUAAAAAGUCAAAUUUGGUCAAUUCUUUCAACUUAGAACUUAAAUUUUGAAGUUCAUUAUUCUAAAUCAAUUCUGCAUAACUUAAAAACCAAUACUGAUGAUUUAUGUAAGUCAUAAUACAUCAUGCGAAAAUAUUGAAGCCUCAAAACACAAAGCAAAGUACAAAUACUCAAAACGAUUAAUUGAAUUAUUACGUGGGAAAAAGACUACUAAAAUAUUUUUAAAAUAUCCAUCAAUAAUAAGCAAGCAUGAUAACAAAAAGUUAAGAUUGAGGCACAACCAUUCAUCUAUUUGGAUAAGACUACUACUACCCGUAGCAUUUACAAAGAACACUAAUCCAUGAGAAACAUGAUCAAAUUAAAAUAGCUAUGGAAACUCUCGCAGGUCUUCAAAACUCUUAUCUCUCAAUUACAAACUCAUUUCUAUCGAAUCAAAAAAUCCCAGUCCUUUUCCAUAAAAACAUACACAGAACUCCUGACCUCCACCAAAAUACAUGGAAAUUACAUGCCGAAGCAAAAGGCUUCGGCAAUGUACCAGCUGAAACACAAAAGCCAAACGGAAAACUCGACGCCUCCAAAAGAAAUAACAGAAGGAAUAAUAAUAACAACAAUGAAGACAACGACGAAAAAAUUCCGUCGGCAGUGUGGGAAAGAAUUAUCGGAAGGAUGUUGUUUUACGUGGGAGCUCCAAUCGUAGGCGGUGUGGCUCUGCUACAGGUUUUGGAUAUCGUAAAGCAACAACAAUUGUGGGAUGUACCAAUUUGGUUACCAUUCUUGACAACGUUUAUCUCGUUUGGAGCUUCAACACUUGGAAUUGCUUAUGGGACAUUGUCAGCUAGUUGGGAUUCUGAGAAAGAGGGAACAUUUCUUGGGUUGGAACAAGCUCAGAAGAAUUGGGUUGAUAUGUGGGUUGAAGAUGGUAAUGAUGAUGAAGAAAAUAGGUGGAGCAAUUAAGAGAGAAAAAAAAAUGUAAACUAAUUAGUACUUGUAUUGUUCAUUGAAUAUCGCUCCAAUACUAUUGUUUACCUUCAAAUUUAGAUGAGAAUUAAACUUAUAUUGUGAUUUUAAGGAUAUGUGAUUUCGUUAAAUACCAAUUGACAAGCAAGAAAUAAAUAAAUAAAUUAGAGAAUAAAAUAAAUCAAACCAGUAUGCUAGCGUGACGACCCGACCCGUCAUCUCAUGCGUUACUGCUUCGUUUUUCUUGUUUUAUGCUCCUUCAUGUUUCAUUAUCAAUAUGUGAUGUGUUAGAGUUGAUUUGGAUUGUUAUUGGUGGAAAAUGAGACACUUAGUCUCCUUAAGGAAGGCUUAUUUUGGAGAAGUCAACCGGAUGUUGACUUAUGAGUUAGAGGGCUCGGAUGGGAUUUUCGGUAAUUUGGUUUAGCUUCGGAAAGUGAUUUGUAACUUAGGAGUGCGAUCAGAAUUGAUUUUGGAGGCCUGGUGUAGAAUUAGGCUUCAAUUGGCGAAGUUAGUAUUUUGGCAAAUUCCGGUUGAUGGGUGAGAAUUUGAUCCGAGGGUCGGAAUAGAAUUUCGAGAGUUGUUGUAGCUUCGUUAGGUGAUUUGUGAUGUGUGUGCAAACGUUUAGUUGAAUCGGAGGUGUUUAUGUCGGGUUUUUGAUCGAAUGUGAGUUUCGGAAGAAUUUGAUAAACUAGACUUUGAUUUGGUGGAAUUUAAUGAUUUGGUGUUAAUUAUGGUGAUUUGAUGGUUCGAGCAAGUUUGAGUAAGGUUUUGGGUUACAUCUGUAUUUUUGGUUAAGGUCCUGAAGGCUUCGGGGUGUUUUCGGAUGGCCAACGGGGUGAAAAAUUGGACUUGAAUAUUGCUGAACUUUUCAGGUGUCUGGUGUUUUCGCACCUGCGGUUUUGGGACCGCAGGUGGGGUCUCACAGAAGCAAGCGGGGAGGCGCAUAAGCGGAAGGGCGGUCCAUGGCAGGUUUCGCAGAAGCGGACGUGGGGGCCGCAAAGGCGGUUCCGCUGGUGUGGUAUCUGGACCGCAAAUGCGGUCGUGGGCCUUGAGUGAUUUCAGUAGAAGUGGAGUAAUUGCCGCAAAAGCGGUGACUGCAAAAGCGGUUUUGGUGCGCAAAAGCGAAAAGGGCUGGACAGGAAAGGGAUUUAAUGUGUCAUUUUGUUCCGCGAGUUAAGAUAUUUUUCCUCCAUUGUUGAAUAUCUUGGGAGCUUUUUGGGAGCAAUUGAAGAGGGUUUCAAAGGGGAUUGACAGGAGGUAAGUUCUAUGAACUAAAAACAUUAUUAUAUUGUGAAAUUGGUCUAGAAAUUCAUGGAAACUGAGCCUAAAAUUUAUGAACUAGGGCUUGAGUUUUGAUAUUCCAAAUUGAGAUUUGAUAGGUCAUUUGAGCUUGGAUUUGGGAGUUCUUGGUAUGUAUAGACUCGUGGCGAGACGAGGAACCCGGUAAUGUGAGUUUUGUAAUUUUUUGAGAAGCAGGCCCGGUGCUCAUAUUUUGCUAGUUUUGAGAUUUUUGUUAUUUCUCGAUUGUUUUCGAUUGGGUAUUGUCUCCUUAGCAUAUUGUAAUGUAUUCGCUCUGAUUUUGGUUAGAUUCAACGCGUGUGAAGGUCGGUCUACGGGGCAAAGGCGUUGCGGGCUAGAGCUUUCACCGUUUUGAGGUGAGCAAUACGUGUAAAUGAUAUUCUGAGGGUUUGAAACCCCAGAUUUGCACAUCAUUGUGCUGUAUUAAGGUGACUUGCACGCCAGAUAUGAGCGUGGGAUAGAGCACCGCUGGGGAUUGUGACUUGGUCCGUUCCGGUUGUUGAUUUUGCUGUGUAUUUGACUGAAACUACUUGUUAUCAUCAUAAUUUGGGCUGAUUGCCAUAUUUGGGCUUCGUGACAACUAUGCGAAUCCUUCGGGAAUUGAGAUUACUAUUUUAGCAUAUGUUGCAUAUUAUUUAAUUUCAAUCCAAGAUUUUAAAUACAGUUUUUGCAAACUCAGCCAUACCUCUAUGUUUUGAAAACUCAAAUAAUAUUUUAAAUGUUAUUUCGGGCUUGGAACUACUAUUUUAUAAAUGCCUAAGGGCUCAUGAUGUUUUUUCUGGACUGAUUAAAGGUGGAUCGGGCUGCGCGCCGCAACACUGACUCGAAACAGUGGUAACAAUGACGCCGUGUGAUGUGACUUGAAAUAGUGGUAAAAAUGGCACCGUGUGAUAUAAAUUGAUUAGGUAACAAUGACAUACCAGGAUUUGAUUGAUGCCACGAGUUGUCUUGUCAUUGCGCUUGGGCUAUAGGAGCCCCUCCGGAGUCUGUACACACCCCCAGUGAGCGGCGUCGACGAUAACUAAAUAUGGGCGGCUCGGGCUGCACGCUGCAGUGGGUACUGGAAUGUACCAUCAUAUACAUUGCAUUACACUCAUGCAUUUGUUCCUAUUUAUACUACUUGUCAUGACAUGAAACAUUAUUAUUUCAUUGGCAUCCAUGCUACUUCUUGCAUUGUUUACUAGAUACCCCGAUGUUAUUUGCCGAUGGAGUGUUGUGCCCGAAGGGCUGACUUACGUGUUGACUUGCACUAUUUGUGUCGCGAUCAUUUGCUUAAACUAUUGAAAAGAAAUAUCUUCAAAAUAGGUUUGAACUGAGCCCAGAUGUUUUUCAAAGGAUUUUACGGUUUUACUGUUUUCUUAAAAGGGUUAUACUAUUUUAUAUAGCAUGAUGGAGUGCCUUACGUGAUUUCUUGCUUUCAGCUAUUAUUUACUUUUAUUAAUCACUGAGUUGGGGGUACUCACUUUACUCCCUGCACCUCACGUGUAGUUGCAGGUUUUGUUCACCUCGGUAGCGGGUUAUUAGCGGAUUGAAGGUAAUGCCAUUGUAGCCGAGUAAGGUGACCGCCAACGUCCGCGGUACCGGACUUCAUCUUUCGAUCUCCAAAUUUUAUUUUUGUAUAUGUAAUUGGCCCUGUAGUGGUGUUAAGUCUUAUUUAGAUGCUCGUGACUUGUGACACCCUGGUCGGGUUGUGUUGGGUGGUAAAUGUCACUCAUUAAUGUCAUUAAGUUGUAUUAUUCAUUCAUUUAUGUUUAUUAACUAUUAAAAUGGGCAUUGUUGAUCUGUUGGCUGGCCUUGUCUUCACGAGAGGCGCCAUUACGAACGGGUUUGGAAAUUGGGUCGUGAUAAGUUGGUAUCAGAGCCUAGGUUACUAGGUCUCACGAGUCAUGAGCAGGUUUAGUAGAGUCUCGCGGAUCGGUACAGAGACGUCUGUAUUUAUCCUUGAAAGGUUUCAGAACCUUUUGGGGAAACUUCACAUUAAUGAAAUAUUAUCGUGCGUUCUUGAUUCAGCUUGGAAAGUAACUCUUGAAAUUUCUUCCACGUGUUCACAUGCGCGCAUGAUCGCUCAGUAUCAGAUGUGCCUUGACGGCUUGUGAUUCCCCGAUCGAGGAGCAAGAUGUAAUUUCUAUGAGUUGAUGUUGGGCUAGUCUGGAGAACUUGAGGUCGGAUCUUUGCUUACGGCUUGACCACCAAGGUGCCGAUUGUUCGAGCUAGUGUUAUGAACUUAUAUGUUCAGUGUUGCCCCUAUUAGUGGGAGUGACGUCUGGGUAGGUAUGUGGAUGUCUUGAGCUAUUGUUGAUAAAGAAUGUGUAGUGUAAAGAGAAGAAAGCUGUUUGGUUGUAUCCGAAUGAGAUCAUGUCCGGCGGGGUCAGAGCUAAUGAGGCACAUGUAUUUAUGUCUAUUUGAUAAGGUAAAUUGCAGUUGAAUAAGAGUGAAUGACUUGCGAGAAUGGUUCUAAUGGGUUCAAGAGUCAACGUACAUCAAUUGAGAGUUCUAAAGUUGCAUAUGGGGUUAGGAACUGAGUUCAUUAGAAGAUGUCAAGACUUGUGGUAUUCUAUGUUAAUUAUGGUAAUCUAUGUAUCCGCAUCAGGAAGGUAAAGGAAAUAGAGUUAUAUUCGCAGAGAGUUCUUCUGAGUAAGGUAUUCUGGAAUGUGAUGCUGGUAGAAAUAUUUGAGAGAGUAGUCAGCGGGUUGUGGUUCCUAAUAGUGUGAUUUUAUGCUUGGGUCUCGUGCAGUAAGCCGGGAUUGAGGAAAUUGUGGUACUAUGGCAAAGGGAAUAUCAAGGUGAAGACGAAUCAGAAGAAAUUUAGAUAAAUGGAGUAGCUUGAUAACGGACCGAAUCGGCAUGAUAAGGGUAUGAUUAAUUCUUGGUGUGUAUUUUAGGUAAUGAGUUAGCACACGUAAUUUUGCAGCAAUGCUCUCGAGUUUUGACGACUUGCUUAGCGUGAUUUGGUUAGAAGGAUUCAGUCAUGGCGGUUUAGUUUGUGCAAAUGAAAUUGGGAGAGUUCUUGUUUAUUGCUACCGUGGUUGAAGAGGUGCAUCUUGUAUGAAUGUGAGAAGAAUGAGAUGUGCAAGGAUUUUCAUCUAAAUGAGAUCCAUGGAAGUUCUUGAUUAGAUAAGUUUCAGUUCAGGUUAGAAAGGAAAUUCAUAAAGCAUUUAGGUAGCGGGUAGCCUCAAAUAAUCAAGGAAAAUGGUACGGCUAUUCGAAAGUGAUUCGAUGAGAGUAUAUAUUUCAGAGAAAGGGCAAUGUGAUUAAAUGAUGGUACUUCGGUGGUGUUGCGACACUUUCUUGUUAGAUCAACUGGUGAUAUUCGGGUUUGCUUGGUGGCUCAGGGAGAUUUUUGAGUAUGUAUUGUGGAAUUAUUGGAUAUUUAGCUGUGGCACCUGUUCGGACGGCAAAAUUGGGAUCAACUAUGAUGAUUCGUAUGCUAUGUGGAAUUUGAGGCGAAAGUCCUCAUAUUCGGGCUAUUUGUGAUGGUAGAUCGUAUGUAUCGGCACCGUUUGGCGAAUAUUGGGAUUUGGAGGCUUGAGUGAAUCUUUCAUUGCUGGUAUGUUGUAUUUUGGAUGUGAUGUUGGAGUUCAAACCGGUUGUCUCAGUGUUAGAUUAAUUAUGGACUAUUGCAUUAUGGGAUAUGUCGGAAACGCCAUGCUUUGAGUGGCGAGGUGCAUUGGGUUAUGUUCUUGUGGAGUGGUUUAUCUUUCAAAGACCCAGCGUGCGACUAGGAAGGAUUGCUUUUCCUAAUUGAGCUUCAUGAUGGAUGCCAGUGCAGAGGUUGCUAUUAUUGAGAAAUUUACAGCGUUAAAGGGAAUUUUUGGAUGCGUGUUCCAGUUUGAGUUGACUCGGUUGGCUCUGAAUUGUAUUGUCGAUGGAUAGGUUGACUCGACCAUUGUUGAGCUUAUCAGCAAUCUGGAGAGAUCUAUGAGUUGUUUUUUUGCAUAGCGAGAUGUUAUGAUUUACGGACUGUGGGUGCAUAUGGUGCGGUGCUAUCGUGAUUCAUAUUGGAAGUUGAGGGGAAACCUCAGUUGUUCUUGAGUUUUGUAGUUUAUAACGCUAUAUGUGGAUAUUGUAUGCUCUCAGUAUGCUUACCACCGAUACUCGGUAUUUUGUUGUAAUGAGCAAAUUUGCCUCGAUGUGCAUCUCCUUACGUGAGAUAUAUGUGUGGAUCGGGUGGCACGCCACCAUGGGUAUGUUAUCUGGAUCGGGUUUUACACCGCAACAGUGUGAUGUUGAGAAUAGUUCUCCAUGUGCUAUUUUGUAGGACUUGUUUCCUGAUUCUACUGAAAGUCCGCAUUAGGUGUUGCUCGGUGAAUGGCGCUGCGGUUGUGUCCUUUCAGGAUCACAUAGUAUAUAUUACUUGCUUCACCAUGGGUAUAAUGAUUUUUUUUUAGGUUCCAGAUGUCAAUCGUAAGUGGUUGUCAAUUUCGAGUGUAGUAACUUGAGGUGUCUCAUGCGGAGCAGUGGUUGGACAGGAUCGUGCACUGUAGCAAGGUUCUGUGGCGAUAUGACCCUACGGGUUAGAUUUGUGUGCUCUAUUCUAUGAUGUGAGAAGGAUUCUCUGCCUUGUGUUGUGAUGGUACUGCCGAGCUUGAGGUACAACUCUUUCAAUCGAGUCAUUUCAAUGAUUGGUGUAUAUUCCGACUAUUGUUUAUGGGUACAUGUAGUUGCGCAAGUUGAGGCUUAGGCCGUAUUGAUGUGUCAUGUCACCAGGGUGGUGUGUUUGGUUAGAAUAGAUCUUUGGGAUCACUAAUGGAUGCGAACGGAUUUGAUUUCAGCUUGUGAAAGGAUGAUAUCGAGGUUCGGUUCGGAAAUCUGCUGUGGUAUUAGUAGAAAGGGAAGAAAUGCCUUCGUGAAUGGUUGAUUUGAGAAAUGGUUAUGGUCUUCUGCGCGUUCAUUAUCAUCGAUACAAUAUGAUAGUGUUGGAAUAAGACUCCAGCUAAUAAGCAGUUUCUAUCGGUAUAUGGUUGUUGUGGACAGCUGCCGUGAACGGAAGUUAUCAUUUCGGGUGCUUGGAUUAUGUGGUAUAUCAUAUGAUUUCACCGGAGGUUGCAGGUAUGGGUUAUUACAGCUGGUUCGGACUUAUCCUGAGUAGAUGUGAUGCUCUGGCCUUGCGUAUAAUUUUGGAAAGUGCUAUGUAGUUCUAUGGGUCAUGGUCUAGAUGGAUUGUGAGACUUCAGCUAUGUUGUGUUAUCGGAUCUAUGCGAGAUAGGGUGGCGUGGGAUCACCCCGAGUAUAUGCUUGGUAAGGUUAUUUAGCCAUUGAGUUGCUUCUAGUACAACUCUGGGUACGCUCGAGGACGAGCAUUGGUUUAAGUUGGGGAGGAUGUGAUGACUCGACCUGUAAUCUCAUGCGUUACUGCUCCAUUUUCCCAUUUUAUGCUCCUUCAUGUUUCAUUAUCAGUAUGUGAUGUGUUAUAGUUGAUUUGGAUUGGUAUUGGUGGAAAAUGAGACACUUAGUCUCCUUAAGAAAGGCUUGUUUUGGAGAAGUCAACCGGAUGUUGACUUAUGAGUUAGAGGGCUCGAAAGGGAUUUCCGGUAAUUUGGUUAGCUUCGAGAAGUGAUUUAUGACUUAGGAGUGCGAUCAAAAUUGAUUUUGGAAGCCUAGUGUAGAAUUAGGCUUCAAAUGGCGAAGUUAGUAUUUUGGCAAAUUCCGGUUGAUGGGUGAGAAUUUGAUCCGAGGGUCGGAAUGGAAUUCCGAGAGUUAUUGUAGCUUCAUCAGGUGAUUUUUGAUGUGUGUGCAAACGUUUAGUUGAAUCGGAGGUGUUUAGGUCGGGUUUCUGAUCGAAUGUGAGUUUCGGAAGAAUUUGAUAAACUUAGGAUUUGAUUUGGUGAAAUUUGAUGAUUUUGGUGUUAACUAUGGUGAUUUGAUGGUUCGAGCAAGUUUGAAUAAGGUUUUGGGUUACAUUUGUGUUUUUGGUUGAGGUUCCAGAGGCCUCGGGGUGUUUUCGGAUGGCCAACGGGGUGAAAAUUGGACUUAUGUGAUUGUGGAACUUUUUUGGUUCUGGUAUUUCCGCAUCUGCAGAAAAGGGACAGCAGAAGCAGUUCUGCAGAUGCGGCGGGGAGGUCGCAGAAAAGUUCCUUGAGGCCUGGGCAAUUUCCGCAGAAGCAAAUGUAAUUCCGCAAAAACGUUCAUCGCAGAUGCGAUUUUGGACCGUAGAAGCGGUCCUGGGUAUUUUGAGAGAAACCGCAGAAGCGGUAUUUGCGGCGCAGAAGCGAAAAGGCCUCACAAAUAUUAAAUUAAGUCUUCUUCGCGAAUUUUGAAAGAAUAAACAUUUUGUACUUCGAACUAAGAGGGUUUUGGGCGAUCUUUGAAGAGGGUUUCAAGGGCUAUCAUCAGGUAUGGAUUCUUGGACUUAAAGUAUGAUAUUAUGGUGUAAAACGUUUUGGGUCACAUCUGUAAUUUUGGUUGAAGUCCCAGAGGCCUCGGGGUGUUUUCGGAUGGCCAACAAGGUGAAAAAUUGGACUUGAGUGUUGCUGAACUUUUCGGGUGUCUGGUGUUUUCGCACCUGCAGUUUUAGGACCGCAGGGGCGGACUCACAAAAGCGAGCGGGGAGGCGCAGAAGUGGAAGGGCGAUCUAUGGCAAGUUCCGCAGAAGCGGACGUGGGGACCGCAAAGGUGGUUUCGCUGGUGCAGUAUUUGGACCGCAGAAGAGGCCGUGGGCCUUGAGUGAUUUCUGUAGAAGCGGAGUAAUUUCUGCAAAAGCGGUGACCACAUAAGCGGUUUUGGUGCUGCAAAAGUGAAAAGGGCUGGACAGGAAAUGGUUUUAAAGUGUCUUUUUAUUCUGCGAGUUAGACAUUUUUUCUCCAGUGUUGAACAUCUUGGGAGCUUUUUGGGAACAAUUGAAGAGGGUUUCAAAGGGGAUUGACUAAAGGUAAGUUCUAUGAACUAAAAACAUGAUUAUAUUGUGCAAUUGGUCUAGAAAUUCAUGGAAACUGGGCCUAAAAUUUAUGAACUAGGGCUUGGGUUUUGAUAUUCCAAAUUGGGAUUUGAUAGGUCCUUUGAGCUCGGAUUUGGGAGUUCUUUGUAUGUACGGACUCGUGGCGAGACGAGGAACCUGGUAAUAUGAGUUUUGUAAUUUUUCGAGAAGCCAGCCUGGGGCUCAGGUUUUGCUAGUUUCGAGAUUUUUGUUAUUUUUCGAAUGUUUUCGAUUUAGUAUUGUCCCCUUAGCAUAUUGUGAUGUAUUUGCUCUGAUUUUGGUUAGAUUCGACGCGCGUGGAGGCCGGUUUGCGAGGCAAAGGCGUCGCGGGCUAGAGCUUUCACCGGUUCGAGGUGAGUAAUACUUGUAAAUGAUAUCCUGAGGGUUUGAAACCUCAGAUUUGCAUAUCAUAGUGAUGUAUUGAGGUGACUUACACGCCGAAUAUGAGCGUGGGGCAGAGCACCAUGGGGAUUUUGACUUGGUCCGUACCGGUUGUUGAUUUUACUGCGUAUUUGACUGAAACCACUUGUUAUCAUCAUAAUUUUGGGCUGAUUGCCAUGUUUGGACUUCGUGCCAACUAUGUUAAUCCUACGGGGAUUGAGAUUACUAUUUUAGAAUAUGUUGCAUAUCAUUUGAUUUCAGUCCAAGAUUUUAAAUACCGUUUUUGCAAACUCAGCCAUACCUCUAAGUUUUGAAAACUCAAAUAAUAUUGUAAGUGUUAUUUCAGGCAAAGAACUACUGUUUUAUAAAUACCCAAGGGGCUUAUGAUGUUUUUUUCUGGACUGAUUAUGGGUGGCUCGGGUUGUGCACCGCAGCAGUGACUCGAAGCAGUGGUAACAACCACACGGUGUUAUGUGACUUGAAAUAGUGGUAACAAUGGCACUGUGUGAUAUAAAUUGGUCAGGUAACAAUGAAUGACCAUGAUUUGAUUGAUGCCACGAGAUGGCUUGUUAUUGCGCUUGGGCUGUAGGAGUCCCUCCGGAGUCAGUACACACCCUCAGUGAGCACUGUCGAUGAUAAAAAGGUAUAGGUGGCUCGGGCAGCAUGCUGCAAUGGGUAUAUGUACCAUCAUAUGUAUUGCAUUGCACUCAUGCUUUUGUUCCUAUUUAUACUACUUGUCAUGAGAUGCAAAACUCUCAUUUCAUUGGCAUCCAUGCUACUUCUUGCACUGUUUACCGGAUACCCUGGUGUUAUUUGUCGUUGGAGUGAUGUGCCCGAGGGGCUGAAUUGCGUGCUGACUUGCACUACUUUUGUUGCGAUCAUUUUCUUAAACUAUUGAAAAGAAAUAUUUUCAAAAGAGGUUUUAGCUGAGCCCAGAUGUUUUUCGAAGGAUUUCACAGUUUUAGUGCUUUCUUAAAAGGGUUGUACUGUUCUAUAUAGCAUGAUGGAGUGCCUUAAAUGAUUUCACGGUUUCAUCUAUUAUUUACUUUUAUUAAUCAUUGAGUUGGAGUACUCACUUUACUCCCUGAACCUCCUGUGCGGUUGCAGGUACUUUUCACCUGGUAGCGGGUUAUUAGCGGAUUGAAGAUAUUGUCAUUGUAGCUGAGUAAGGUGACUGCCAGCGUCCGCUGCACCGGACUUCAUCUUUCGCACUCCAGAUUUUAUUUUGUAUAUGUAAUUGGCCCUGUAGUGGUGUUAAGUCUUCUUUAGAUGCUCGUGACUUGUGACACCCCGAUCGGGUUGUGUUGGGUGGUAAAUGUCAACUAUUGAUGCUAUUAAGUCGUAUUAUUCUUUCAUUUAUGUUUAUUAACUGUUAAAAGGGAUAUUGUUGAUCUCUUGGCUGGCCUUGUCUUCACGAGAUGCUCCAUCACAGGCGGGUUUGAAAAUUGGGUCGUGAAAGGUAGCCAGGUCUCGACCUUGAUUCGAGGUAGUUUUGAGGUGAAAUAAUAAGAACAGUAAAAGUUAAAGCAACUCUAAUGAACAGUAUGUGAAAUAGCAGGAAUGUAAUGAAUGUAUAUAUUCUUAUUAGUGAAUCAUAAUGCUUACAAAUGAAUAAGAUCUCUCUUUAUAUAAUAGAGGAGUCCUAAAUAAGGUAUACAUCUAAUUAUAGUAGGAAACCAUAUUAACAUCUAAUUAACCGUCGUGGAUUGAUCUGUUUUGAGAUUUACGCCACGAUCCUCGACCAACCGCGGAUAUCUCGCCUUUUCCGUUAUCAAGCUAUACCGAUGUCAGUCGGAGUCUGUCUCUCGGGCCUCGAUUGAUGUCGACCUCGGUUCGAAAAGAGGCUUCGAUUCUGGGCUCGACGUCCUAGCUCUCUGAUGCGACAUCCCCACCUCGACGAAAGAAUGAAAUCGAGUAGCCCGGAUUUCUACCAUAUGCAGAUAGUCCCCUUGUUUCUUAGAAUAAAAUGAUAAGAAACAACUUAAGCCUCGAUUUCUGGAGACCCAGUAAUGAUGUCAACCCGUGACGUAAGCGAUUGAGGUGACCGAACAUCCCGUCGGUACAGUUUCCCAAGCCUUUUAUGCUUGACAGUGGACGGUCAGCCACUAGCACCACCGAACUAUCGCUGUAAAUCUAUAAUAUAGGCUCUUUAGCUGAAUCAAAGUUUUACUUUUACCUCUACCAAGUUUUCUAAGCCUCUUAGUCUCUCUAUCUCUUCUCUUUCACCACCCAUUGAGUCAACUUUGCUAGUGUCAGGAAUAUAAGGUUUCAUAUUUUUUCCGCUUCCUUCUACUUGAAUUAAUGGGGAAAACCUCCAAAACCGUUCCACAAAACGGAAAGGCCUCUUCAUCACGGCCGGCCAGUGAUAAAAUGCUGGUGGAGCCACGCACCAAAUAGUGCAUUCUCGGGUCAUGCAACCUUUCUUCUGAUUUCAAGAUUGAAAAAACCAUCUUCUAUCCCUGAUUGAUAUGAGCCCAUGUGAAGAUAUAUAUGCUCGAUCACUGAAGGCGAUGUCGAGCAGGUGAAAAAGGACUGCCACUAGGAAAAUGCAAAGGUGGUGGUCCUACCCCCGAUGAGGAUAUAACUAUUUACGUGGAAGGGUUUCUAGGUGUUUACACUUACCCUUUCACGUUGGGUCCCGUCGAUCCCAUUAUUAUCGACUUCUCCCGCCAGCAACAGAUAACUCUUGGCCAGAUACACCCCUACUUUUGGCUUAUUGUCAUCUUGCUUCGAUUCUUUGUGAGUAAGAUCGACGAGAUGCCAUUGACCUCAACUAACUCAUGGGAUUAUAUAGCCCCCGCCUCUAUCGGGGCAGAUUAAUAAGGCUCCAUCACCGAGCCACGAAGGUGUUGUUCUUGAGUAUAGAAGAGGACAAUGAUCGGGGAUGAACGGGUUGAAUUGUGCGAGUGAGGACCUCCGAGAUAAUCCAGGUUGAGAAAUGCCAUUCCCUGAGGAAUGGAACAUGAAGUGUAAGUAAACCCAUUAAUAUCUUUUGCCGAUUGCUUUGUUUCUUUUAUCUUCCUUUACCCACAUCUUUUCUCACCCAUGUCUUUUUUUGUGAUGUAGCGGUUCCUUGGAUAUCAGGAGCAACCCCGAACUUCAAAAGUUGGGUUCGGAAGUUGGCUUCGACUUUCACAUAUCCUGAGCGCUCAUGGCGCGAUGUAGCGAGGGUGGAUGGGAGACCAAGAAUCAUGGUAAGCUUAUCUCAUACUCUUUGAAUUCUUUUUUCUCAAACUUUUCUUUUUAUUUAUAAUUGAAUCCCUUUAAUGCAAGCCUCGGGGAUGUUGCUGAAAUGAGUCCGGCCCAGCCUGGGGAAGAGGUGGUUCCCAAACCGGCUAAGGACAAGAAACAAGAAGGAACUAGCCUUCCGAUACCCCGAAUCCUAAGAAGAGUAAGGCUCAGAAGUCAAAAAAUGACUUUGCUGCUUUGUCUGCUGCCGUAGCCAAAAAACUACGAGAUGAAUAAGAGAAGGGAGAAGAUGUUGGUUACGAGCUGGUGGCUCGAAAAGGGAAGCGUCGAAGCUUCAAAAGCAACUGAGCUAGUGAUGGUGGUGGAAGCUCAUUGUUGGACCGAGGAGAUCUCUAAAGGUGGCCCGAGCAAAGUCUACGAGCCAUUGGGGGCUGAAGAUAUCUCAUAUCAUGAUGAACAACCAGCGAGUGUGUCCAAAGGAUCCGAUCCCGAGGCCCAUCAAAGGAGAGAGAAUGCCCCAAGUGACUUGCUUGGGGAUUUCAAUAUUGAUGAUUCGCUGCCCGUCCCUACAUUUUCUGUAGGGCAAUUUCAGGAGGCUCGAUCUAUGGAGACCCCUGAUGUGGGAAUGACCCAUGAAGAGGACGACAUAUUUUGUGGUUGUCUCGCGGGGGUCGAUAAUGUUUUUGACCUAGAUGCGACGAUCAUUUUUGAUGAGGCCCAACGACUCCUGAACCACGUAAAUUUCAUCCCACAUUAUUACUUUGCUUUUAGUUCCUUAUGUCUGAUUUCUUUUCUUUCUCUAUAGGUUGUGACACUUCAUGGGGAAGCGUUCACCAAAUCCCAAGCCGAGAUGAACCAGCUGAGGCCAAUCUCAAAAUUCUCAUGGAGGACAGAGAUGCCCUCAAACGCCUCUAUGUGCAGAAAGAAGAGGAGAUCAGGGACCUCCGAGCUGAACUGGUAACAACCCAUAAGAAGAAGACACAUCUCAUCGAGCAGGUACUGUAAAUUUUCGGGAGCUUGACAUAUCAAUUUGAUAUUGGUGACUAACACUUAGAUAUGCAGGUUUAGCAGAAGGCCAAAAAAAGCAACCAGCUUCACGAGGAGCCAGAGAGAAAAGAGGCAGAGAUAUUAGGGUGGAAGAAGAACAUGGAUCGUCUUGCCUCGGAGAAAGAUACCUCUCGGGCCCAACUAUCUUCAGUUGAGCGUCAAAUCCAAAGCAUAAUGGAAGAGAGCUUGGCUCGACCAAAGAAGUUAAAGAGCUCGAGACUCGGCUGGCUGCUGAGCUUGCAAAGUGUACAUUUGCAACGGAAAAGGCAAAGGUCGAUGUGGAGGCAGUCGUGGUUGUCUACCGAGCCGGCAUUUAAGCCGAUAAUGCUCAAGCGAAGGAAAUUUUCAAUGCCGCUAUGAUUCGAUUAUCCCGCGCUGCUGAACAUGCUAAAUGUCAGUCUCGGAGUGGCACUCUCGAGGAGGUUCAUGCUCGUGGCUUUGACCUCAUGACCGAUAUUGAGAACACAAAAUUGCUGAAAGCCGAGGCUGAAGCUUUUCUCUCUAGUGAUGAUGACACCGAGAGUAUGAGCAGAUCCGGGAGCGGAAAAGAUGAAGAUGAAGUUCCUGGGGAAUACUAGGUACUUAGAAUUUUUUACUUCUUUUUUUAAUUUUUUUGUAAGGCCCUUGUCGGUCCCUUGUACAUAUAUUUUGUCCAUAUAUAUAAAAAAAAUUCUCUUUUGGAUGCCUUCUCAAAUUUUUUCUUCAAUCAUGAUUCAUGCCUUUUUUAACACAUUUUUGUGCUUUAAAUAAUAUGUUCGAGACUUUGGUUUUAAAUGACUUGAUUGAAGCCAUAAUAAUAACGCUUUUAUAGUCGGGUUCGAGUGAAACCAGAAUUUGGAACAAAAGUACCCUUAGGUUUGUUUCGAAUGAUAACGAACCUCGAUCUGUAGUCGAGUAGGUUCUUAUUCCAAUUCGAGAUAGUGGGACCCUUAGGUUCAGAUUGAGUGAUAACGUGUUCUCGGACUCAAAGUGUGUUGGCCCCUAGGCUCUUUCAAUCGGGCUGAUGUGGCCUCUAAAGGAUGGCUAUUUAUUCUCUCUUUUGGCUCAAAACUUGAGUAAAAAAUUCUUAUGCCUUAGCAUGUUUUUUUGAACCCAUUAAUUUCUUUUAGUAUGGAUCGAAACCCCUUUGUUUUUUAUGCCAUAAGUAACCCUUUGAUUAUUGCUGAGGGUACCCUUUUUUAACACCGGUUUUCAGAGAAUUUGAAGGCCUAUUUUUAUUGUAGGGUUCCGACGUCUUCGAGCGGCGUUAGUUUAGCCAUAGCCUUUGGGUAUGACUCUUGGUCUUACUUUCCCAACAAUACUUCGAAUUUGUUUGAAGUAUUAGUCCCCGAGAACCAUAGCCUUGGCCUACAAAUUGAGGGGUGCCUCUUUGAGGUCUUUAGAUAAUUCGAAGAUGUUGAGUUUUGAUGGCAGUCCCCGAGUAGGGGGUUGACCGUUCGAUAUGUAUUUAUACUUGGCCCUUGAGCCAUUUACCUUUCGAGUUAUAGUUGUAUUUAGAUCUUGAGCCAUUUUUCACAAAAAUCAUAAGCAUGGAGCUUAUAUAGUACAAAACUUUCUUUGAGGUACAAGAUAUUUGAUAAGGAAAAAUUCUUCAUUGAAUAAUUUAUACAUGUGUACAUGUUUUGCCAUUGGAGCUCGAUUAAUCUACAUGGACAGGGUUCGUUCGACCGUUUGGCCCAUUAAAACGUUUCCCUAUAGAGGCCCUUUUGACACGAAGUAUUUUCCCUUGAAAAUAAAUCGUCCGAGGGUGAUGCCCCGCAGUAUUCGAGGUUGAAUGUAGAGAAGCCUAGGAUACAUUUGAAUUGUCCCCAGGUAGUACAUAUAAUUACUGCAUCAUUAAAAACCUCGCCAGAAAAGUCCAUUUGGGAUAAAAUUGAUCUAUGGGGAAAAAAGUGCAACACGUGCUUUAAACCUAAGGUUCUCGUGUUGAAGAGCUUCCCGACGUCUUCAGUCAAACACCUGCAAUAAGUUAGUAUCAAAUAUAAAUGGAAAGGGAGAAAGUCAUACCUUAGCAAUAAUAUCGUUUGAGGAGUGAUAUAUUCUAAUUGUUUGGCAAUUGUUCGCCAUCCAUUAUGCCAAGUCUGUAAGACCCCUUUCCAAUGAUACCGAGGACCUCAUAUGGUCCCUCCCAAUUUGGGCCUACAUUCCCUUUGUUUGAGUCUCGAGUAUUAAGGUUGACUUCCCUCAUAACUAUGUCUCCUAUUUUGAAAUGUCAAAGAUUGGCCCUUCGAAUAUAAUAUAUUUCGGUUCGAUGUUCCUAAGUGGCCAUUCGAACGAGGGAGGCUUACCCUUUUUCGUCAAAAAAUUCUAGUCUUAUGCUCAUAGCCUCGUGACUUGAUUCUUCUGUUACGUAUCGAAACCUGAUGCUUGGUUCCCCGACUUCGAUCGGCAUCAGAGCUUCGACGCCAUAUACUAACAAGAACGACGUUUCCCCUGUACUGGAUUUUGUCGUUGUCCGAUAUGCCCAAAGGAAUUCAGGUAAAAAUUUCUCCCCACUUCCCCUUAGCAUCUUUAACCUUUUUCUUUAGGUUUUAAAUGAUGGUCUUGUUAGUUGAUUCGACCUGUCCGUUCCAACUAGGAUGAUAUGACAUGGAUAAAAUUCUUUUAUUUUGUGAUCCUCGAGUAACUUUGGUACUUUUCUGCCGAUAAAUUAUUUUCCAUUGUCGCACACGAUUUCAGUAGGUAUCUCGAAUCGGCAUAUGAUAUGAUCCUAGAUGAAGUCUAUAACUUCUUUUUCUCUGAUUUUCUCGAAGUCAUGUUCUUCCACCCAUUUAGAGAAGUAGUCAGUCAUAAAUAAAAAGAAUUUAGCUUACCUGGAAAUGAUGUCAAAUGGUCGACGAUAUCCAUCCCCCAUUUCAUGAACGACCACGAGGAUAGGACCAAAUGAAGUUGUUCUUUGGGCUACUGGAUUAUUGGUGCUACCUUUGUAAUUUAUCAGAUUUUUGAACAAACUCCUUAGUGUUUUUUCCAUAUUAUCCCAAUAGUAUCCUGCUCUGGUGAUUUUGUGAACUAGAUGUUCGGCACCGAGUGGUUCCCACAAGUACUUUCAUGGACUUCCCGUAUAGCAUAAUCAAUGUCCCAUGGUCCCAAACAUACUGCUAAUGGUCCGUCGAAUGUCAUUCUGUACAAUAUUUCAUCUUCGGCCAAAGUGAAUCAAGCAGCAUUUGUACCUAAUGCCCUCGAUUCAUUAGGGUCCAAUGGGAGCUUUCCAUUUUUCAAGUACUCGAUAUAUCUAUUCCUAAAGUUAAGCUCAUGGAAUUUAUCUCAGCGUGACCUUCUUCAAGCACAGAUCACAAGAGUUGAAUGACAGACCCCAAGCUAAUUUUGUCCUCCUCGAGUGACGACCCCAGAUUUGCGAGAGCAUCGGCUUCGCGGUUAUGCUCGCAAGGUACGUGCUUCAAGGUCCAUUCUUUAAAAUGGUGCAAAGUCACAUGUAGCUUAUCCAAAUACCUUUGCAUUCUAUCCUCUCGAACCUCAAAGGUUUUGUUUAAUUGGUUUACCACCAACAAAGAGUCGAACUUGGCUUCAAUGACUUACGCCCCCAAGCUUUUAGUUAGUUCGAGACCUGAAAUCAUGGCCUCUUACUUGGCCUAAUUUUUAGUUAGCUUAGAAGUUUUGAUGGAUUGUCUAAUGUGUUUCUCGUGGGCGGCUUCAAAACAAUACCUAGCCCGGACCCCUUCACAUUCGAGGUGUCAUCUGUGAAAAGGGUCCACACCCCCGAUGAUGUACCUAAUUUUAAUGAGAGUUCCUUCUCGAUUUCGGGUACGAGGGUUGGCGUGAAAUCGACCAUAAAGUGUGCUAAAAUUUGAGACUUGAUGGCCGUUCGGGGGUGAAAUUUGAUAUGGUACACACUUAGUUCGAAAACUCAUUUGGAAAAUCGACCUGAUAGCUCGGGCUUAUGCAAUAAAUUGCAAAGUGGGUAAGAGGUUAAUAAACAUAUGGGGUGACAUUGAAAAUACGGUUUUAGCUUGCAAGACAAGCUUAUCAAUGCAAGUGCCUGAAAGUACAAAAGGGAGGGUGAAUUGUGAAUAAUUUAAACUUAAUCGUAAAUAAGUCGACUUAAAACUUUAUUAGUCGACUGAGACGAUACUUCAGGUGAAGAUAUUCGAAUAUAAUUAUGCAGAAAGUAAGUGCAAAAAUAUAAAUGUGACAUUAAAUUUUAUACUGCUUCGGAUUCAAUGUGAAUCAUAAUCCACUCCCAUUGGGUUGCAAGGGAUUUCUCUCAGAUUAAUCAUUUUCUUUUGAGUACAGAUAUAAUACUUAUCGCACAAUCUUCUUUCACUUGUUUGAUACAAUGCCUCGCCAAUUGAGAACUCUCUUUCUAUCUCUGACUUGUUACACAAUUAAUCACCGGUUGAAUCCGGAAUCGAGGCAAAUAAUGACUAUAUUACAGUCUGCGUAUCAGAAAUCCGGAUAAGGAAUUCUGUUUACUCAGGAGAAGGUGUUAGGCAUUCCCGAGUUCCGUGGUUCUAGCACAGUCGCUCAACUGUUAUAUUCGGUUUAUUUAUCUGAUUUUAACAAUUAUGUACCUAGUGCAAGUCAUGAUUCUUUUAACCGCUUUUCUUAUUAUUAUUAUUAUUAUUUUAAUAAAGCUAAAGCUUAAAGGGAAAGCAAAAGCCAAAGUUAAAGCAAAAGUUAAAGCAAAAGCAAAAGCAAAAGCAAAAAGUUAAAGCAAAAGUAAAGUAAAAGUUAAAAUUAAAGCAAAAGUUAAAGUUAAAGCAAAAGUUAAAAUUAUAGCAAAAGUUAAAGAAAAAACGGUGUUAUUAUUUUAGGAGAGAAUUGCAACGUCGCGAAACGUAUUUUUAACCACGUCACAACCAGUGUACACGUGAUCUUCGACACAUUCCGACUUCGUUGGACUUUGAUUUGGGUCACAUCAAUGUACAUCCGGGUUUAAGAAGGUAAUGUUUUUAAAAUACGCGCCUAACGAGUCUAACGAGUUAUUAUUUUGGGGACACUACUAGAAUUCGGCCAAAAAGCGACCAAAAAAUAGCGACCAAAUUUGGUAUGUCAAAAAAAGCGACCAAAUUAGGUCGCCAAACUGACGAAAAUAAUAAAAAAAUAUUUGAAAUAAUUUAACGAUCGAAUUUGGUCGCCAUUUGGACGCAAAGUUAGUCAAACGGUUGACUUGACUGGUCAGACUAGCUUGGUCAAAAAUAUUCUGAGUUUAGCAACCAACAUUUGUCGCAAUAGUGGGACCCACAAAGGUUUUUAAAGUAAUUUUAUUAGUAUUUUAUAAAACUUAUAAAAUAUAAAUAUAUAUAAUUUAAAACUUGCGACCAAAGUUGGUCGCUAACUGAAGGAUAAGAAGUUAGCGACCAAGUUUCUAAAGCGGGACCCAGAUAUAAUAUUUUAAUAAAUAUGUAUUUAUUUAAAAAAUUUAUGAAAUAUAAAUAAAUAUAAUUCAAAUUUUAGCGACCAAAGUUGAUUGCUUAGUGAACUAGAGAUCAACGUUGGCCGCCAAUGUGGGACCCAGUUCCAACGUUUAACAAUUUUUUUAAAUAUUAUAUAAAAUAUAAAUAAAUCUGUUUUAAUUUUAGUGACCAAAUUUGGUCUCUAAAUUAAAUUCAUGUACAGUUAGUGACCAACUUUGGUCGCUAAAUUAAAUUAAUUUUAAGUUAGUGACCAAAGUUGGUCUCUGUAUAGUCAAAAUUAAAAAUCACUUUUGUAUUUAUUAUGUAAAUAAUAUAAAUGUAAGUAGUUAAUACUUUCGUAAUACAAGGGAUCAAUAGUACCACAAAAUCGGGCGUGCGUGUCUAUAUAUAUAUAGCUAAUAUUGAUCGUUUGACCAAAUUAGCGACCACAGUUGGUCGCUAUUUUUGACUGUUUGACCAAAAGGCGACUACUUUGGUCGCUUUAGUAGUAUAUAUGAAAAUAGAAAAAAAUAUUUCAUUUAUUUAUUUUGAAAUAUAGCGACCACAUUUGGUCGCUUUUUUGGUCAAACGGUCAAAAAUGGCGACCAACUUUGGUCGCUAAUUUGGUCAAGCAGUCAAUACUUAUAUAGCUACCAAAUUAGCGACCAAUUUUUUUGAUACCAGAUCUCAAAAUCGGGUUUCCCCUCCCAAAAUCUUAUUUUCAUUUUCAAAUUUCCCAAAACUCUCUCUACUCCCCUUCUCUAUUUCCCUCACACAAAUCAAUCCCCCACCCAGCGCCACCAUUGUGACCUCGUACCACCACCGCCGGAACCGCCGCUGUUAAAGUCCUCCCUCCGAUUCGUCGCUGUUGAAAUUGUUGUGCCACCUUCGCCGCUGCCACUGUCCGCCGGAGCACCAUUUGAAAAGCUUUUUAAUUAUAUUUUUUAUCUACCAAGGUUAGUAAUAUACCUUAUUAGCUUUUUAAUUUAUAAUUUUUGCUAUACAGUUUUAUGUAAUUGGUUAGUGUGUUUGUCUAUUUAGUAUUAGGGUUUCGUAUAAAUUAUGAACUUAAGGUAAAAAUUAGGAACUACCUUAAAUUAUGAAUUUAUGGUUCUUAAGAGAACUCAAAUUAAUGUAUUANNNNNNNNNNNNNNNNNNNNNNNNNNNNNNNNNNNNNNNNNNNNNNNNNNNNNNNNNNNNNNNNNNNNNNNNUAAACUUUUUGGAUAUGAAUUGAACUUUUAGUUAAUGAAUUGAACUUUUAGGAUAUGAAUUAACUAAUUUAAUUUGUUCUUGCUUUAUUUAAAUAGACGAAACAUCGUUCUUGGAUGUACAAUAUGAAUUAUCCUAAUCGGCGGGGAUUGCGGGAGGAUUUUGUAGAUGGGGUUGAGGACUUUAUUAGACAUGCAACGUCACUUCCGCCAUACAUAAAAGAAGGAGUAAUUAGGUGCCCUUGUGUCAAGUGCGACUGUAUUAUAGCCAUUCAACGUUACUUCCGCCAUACAUAAAAGAAGGAGUAAUUAGGUGCCCUUAUAUUAAGUGCGACUAUGAUGUUUGGAAAUCCGGAGGAGGUUAAGGUUCAUCUUUAUAGGAAGGGUUCAUAGCGAAUUACUUUGUGUGGACUAAUCAUGGAGAGAUAGAUGGUAGCCAUGGGAUAUUUCAUAACUUGGUUGUUGGUGAAAGUAGUAGGUCGAUGGAGAAUAGAAAUAGUGAUUCCAGAAUGCAUGAUAUGGUUGCGAAUGCUUUUGGAAUGCACUUUGGGGGUGAGCCCAACGUAAAAUGUUGAACAAACUCCUAAUGAUGAAGCAAGACAUUUUUAUGAACAUAGAGGAAGCUAGUCGUCCACUACGUAAAGGACGUCCUCACUUUGAGUUGUCUGUUGCAGUUAGAUUACUAAGCAUCAAAUCUGAUUGGAAUAUUUCUCAAGCAACCAUGGAUUCUUUCAUUGACCUUAUACGUGAACUAGUUGACGAGGAAAUCAAAUUACCUGGCGAUUCUAUAAGGCAAAGAGAUUAGUUUCUAAGUUGGAACUUUUGUCAAUGAGAAUUGAUUGCUGUGAGGAUGGUUGCAUGUUAUAUUAUAAAGAUGAUGCAAAUUUAAGCUGCUGUAAAUUUUGCGGAAAGCCUCGUUUCAAGAGGCUUUCCAGCGGGAAGAUGGUCGCUAUCAAGGCGAUGUAUUAUUUACCUCUUAUACCUAGGCUAAAGAGGUUAUAUGCUUCGAUGAAUUAUGCUUCUCAUAUGAGAUGGCGCUUUGAAAAUAGAAGACCACCUGGUGUUAUGUUCCAUCCUUCAGAUGGAGAAGCUUGGAAGCACUUUGAUAGGACAUAUCCAGAUUUUCUAGUGAACCAAGGAACAUUCAGUUAGGUCUGUAUGCGGAUGGCUUCACGCCUUUUUUGUAUAUGUGACACCGUAUUCAUGUUGGCCUGUCUUUCUUACACCUUAUAAUAUACCACCCGAGUUGUGCAUGAAUACUCCAUAUAUAUUCUUAAAUUGUAUUAUCCCCGGUCCACGUUAUCCAAAAAAGUUGAUAGAUGUAUAUUUGCAACCUUUGAUUGAUGAGCUAAAACAAUUGUGGUACGAUGGUGUUGAAACAUAUGACAUAUCAACCAAGCAUAAUUUCAAUUUGCGUGCUAAUUUAAUGUGGACAAUUGAUUUUCUUGCGUAUGGAAUGUUGUCUAGGUGGAUGACUGCUGGGAAGCUAGCUUGUCCUUACUGCAUGUAAAAUAGUAAAGCGUUCACUUUGAAACAUGGCCGAAAGCAAUCAUGAUUUGAUUGUCAUCGUCAAUUCUUGCAUGAGGGUCAUGAGUUUAGAAGGAUGAAAAAUGCUUUCAAAAAGAAUAAACUGGAAUAUGAUUAUCCACCUCCGAUACGUUAAGGUGAGGAAAUUUGGGAGAGGGUCCAGAAAUACAGUAAAGUUACUAAAGUUUCACCGCAUAGAUUCUCCGAAUACGUGAGGAAAUUUGGGAGAGGGUCCAAAACUACAAUAAAGUUACUGAAGUUUCACCGCGCAGAUUCCCCGGAUACGAUGUUAUUCAUAAUUGGACCAAACAGAGUAUAUUUUGGGAGUUGCCUUAUUAGAAGGAUAAUCUUUUCCGUCACAACCUUGAUGGCAUGCAUAUUUAGAAGAACUAUUUUGACAAUUUGUUCAACACAGAGAUGGAUGUUAAAGGUAAGACAAAGGAUAACCCGAAGGCUAGAGUGGACUUACAAGAUAUUGCAAGCGGCCUGAAUUACACUUGCAGACAACAAACAAUGGUUAGUUAUUCAAGCCCAAAGUAAGUUACACAUUCACUUUGGAGGAAAGGCGGCAGAUUUGUGAUUGGGUAACGAAAUUGAAGAUCAAAGCAAGUUACACGUUCACUUUGGAGGAAAGACGACAAAUUUGUGAUUAGGUAACGAAAUUGAAGAUGCCUGAGGAUUUAUGCUUCGAAUUUUGGAAAAAAAGUUUAUAUGGAGGUAGGGAAGUUGAGCAUUUGAAAAGUCAUGACUGUCAUGUUUUCAUGGAGACCUUAGUGCCUAUUGCGUUUUCUGGUUUUCCUGAAAGAAUCUGGAAACCCAUCACUGAGAUUAGUUAAUUUUUCAAAGACUUGUGUUCUUUCACAUUAAGGGAAGAAAACAUACGCCGGAUGGACCAGAACAUUCAUGUAACUUCGGGUAAGAUGGAAAAGAUAUUUUCAUGUGGGCUUUUAAUGUGAUGGAACACCUUCCAAUCCACCUUGUACACGAGGCACGACUUGGAGGGUCUGUUCAAUGCAGAUGGAUGUAUCCCUUUGAGAGGUAAUACUAUAGUCCAUAUAUAAUCUUUUGUCUUAUUUGAAUGUUCUUGGCUAACCCAAAAUUAUGCAGGGCAAUGGCAAAUGCAAACAAUUUGUUAAGCAGAGGAAUAGAAUUGAAGGAUCUAUAUAAGAAGCUUAUUUUGCAAAGGAAACUUCUCAUUUUUGUUCUUAUUAUUUUGAGAGCAACGUGCCAUGUGCUAGAAAUAGGCCCAACAGGCACACGGUUGACCUUACGAAUGAUCCAUUAUAUCCGCCUAUGUCCAUAUUCAAUCAACCAGGCCGAUGUUCUAAGGAUGGUAGAAAGAGAAGUUUGAGUGAUAUGGAGUUCAAGUCAGCUACACUUCAUGUGUUACUAAAUUGUCCCGUAGUAGUACCAUUUUUCAAGUAAGUAUUGAUUUAAUAAUUAUCAAAAUAAAAAAUUUACUGUAAUUACAUCUCAAUGCAACUACUAAAAUAUUUGAUGUGUCACGGUCACUUCGUGGGUCAAUUUGGCUAAGAUGCUGUAUAUACGGCAUUUCCUAGGUGGUUUAAACAAUUUGUAAGUAUAUCCUUAAAAUAUUCUAACACUAUGUAGGUAAACAAUGUUUGAAAGUUAUGCUAACUUAUGAAUUUGUUAACAAUAUGUAGGUAAAUGAUCCAAAUAAUGGUGUAAAUCAAUUUUCGAAAGAUAUAUCUUGGGGACCUGGGGUUGAGGUCACAAUAUAUUCCAAGUACGUUGUGACUAGUUAUAAGUUUCAUACAUAGGGUUGCUCUAAAAAUAAAAAAAGAAACAACAGUGGGGUGUGGGUUCAAGGUGGUGAUGGCAACCAAGUUUGAAAUAUUGAUUAUUAUGGUGUGCUCAAAGAAAUAAUAGAACUAGAAUAUUCAGGUAGGCCAUUUAAGAAAAUUAUUCUCUUUAGAUGCACGUGGUUUGACUCAAAUCCAACAAAAGGUAUGAGAGUUCUCAAUCAAUACAACAUAAUUGAGGUUAAUUAUACGAGGGAGUAUGAUCGAUACGAUCCUUUCAUAAUUGCACAUAAUGUUAGGCAAGUGUAUUAUUCUCCUUGUCCAUUUCGGUGGAAUAAGGCCGAUUGGUGGGUUGUAAUCAAAACUAAGGCUGUAGGUAGGGUCGAAGUCGAGAAUGCGUUGGAUGUUGCAUAUCAAAAUGAUAUCUCCAGUGUUCACAAAAUAGUGGACGAACUUUUAAAAAAUGAUUUGGAACAUCCUGAACACAUAUUGGAAGAAGUUGAUAUAAAUGAAGUAAGAAUUAGUGGACGAACUUUUAGAAAAUGAUUUGGAAUAUCCUGAACACAUAUUGGAAGAAGUUGAUAUAAAUGAAGAAAGAAUUAUAGAAAACGAGGAAGAAGAAUCAACUGAUGAAGCUCAAACUAGUGAGGAAGAAGAAUUCUCUGACGAGGAAGAAGAAUUCUCUGACGAGGAAGAUUACGUCAAUGAGCUUUAAAAAGUUGGUUUCUUAGAUACCUCUCGUUUAUAGAUAGUUUUCUUAUAUGUUUCAAUCUAAAUUAUGUAUUAUAUUAUGCAGAUGACAUGAAAAGGUCGAGGUAACAAUGAAGGUAGUGGUUCUCAGGGAAAAGAAAAGGCUAGGGAGCAAAAGAGGAGGGUAGAAGAUAGUACUUAUCAAUCUUUUCCACACUCUUCUGAUUUGCCUGCCACUAUGCCACAGCCUCUACCCAUUGGCUAUACUGAGCUGCCACAACAUCACUAGCCCUACACCUUUGUGCAGACCAGUCUUCAAAGGGCCAUCAGACUGCGUCCAAUAUACAGUCCACCUCCCUCACAACCACGUGCAUCCCGCCCAGCAACAUCACAUGGAUCACAUCGAUCCAUUUCACAGCCACAAGGAUCAAAUCCAUCAGUCUCACAGCCAGUCGGGUCACAGCCACUCGGGUCAAAACAGUCAGUAUCAUAGCCACUUGUGAUCCGUGCAGCUAUGUCGCAGUCACAGGGAACACAUCUAUCGUCAUUAGCAACUCCACUUAUUGGAGGCCUUCGCUUGCGAGAUAGUAGCUCUGACCCCCUACUCCGUCCACACAUGCCUCUGAUACAUAUGAUGCUGAUGUUGCUGCUGGUGAGGAGGUGAAUUAUGAUCAGUAUGGUAGGAUCAUCAUAGUCCCUGAGGGUGAUGGGUAAGAGUUAUUUGUUAUUUUUAUGUUUAUUAUUUUGUACAGUUUUUACUAAGAAANNNNNNNNNNNNNNNNNNNNNNNNNNNNNNNNNNNNNNNNNNNNNNNNNNNNNNNNNNNNNNNNNNNNNNNNNNNNNNNNNNNGUACAGUUUUUACUAAGAUAUUAAUUUGUUUUAUUUAUUAAAUUGCAGGUUCCUCCCGAGUAAUAUUACUACGAGGAUAAUCACCAAAGCAACUAGAAAGUUUUAUGAUGCCCCUUAUGCGUCUUGGCGUGAAUUCCCAUUCUCACUGAAGAAGGCAAUUUUCAAUAAAUUUAAGGUAUAAAUGUUCUUUUAAGCAGUAUAAUUAUUUAUAUUUAGGAUAUUUCCAUAUANNNNNNNNNNNNNNNNNNNNNNNNNNNNNNNNNNNNNNNNNNNNNNNNNNNNNNNNNNNNNNNNNNNNNNNNNNNNNNNNNNNNNNNNUGAUUAUUUAUAUUUAGGAUAUUUCCAUAUAAUAUUUAACUUUUGAAAUACAAAGCAAGUGUGUAUGGGUACGCCAGUAUAGCACGGACGUGGCUGCAAAUUUUGAUCUCAAAGAUCGCAAGCGAUUGUCGCAUGCUUUCUCCAUAGCUAGAAAGCUGAACCAGAAGCUUGGCUGGUUGCUUCAGGAGUAUUGGGAUGAUUUUCAAAGGCAAUGGCUUACUGCAAAGUUCUUACAGAAGAGCGAAAAGGGGAAGAAAGCUCGGGCAUCUGAGAAGGGAGGAUCCUUGCACACCGGAGGUGCGGUCAGCCAAGGGACAAUAAAAAGAAUAAUGGUACGUAAUUGCAUAAUAUAUUUUAAUUUUCAAAGUAUAUCUAUUCUAUUUAUUAAUCAAAAUUUAUAAGUUUCAGGAAAAGAAUUUGGGCCGUCCGAUAAACCAAGAUGAGCUUUUCAAGGAGACUCAUAUUGUGAAGAAGAAGAAAGAGACGGAUGGGAAAAAAAAGUUCGGCCGUCCGAUGAACCAAAGAUGAGCUAUUCAAGGACUCAUAUUGUGAAGAAGAAGAAAGAGACGGAUGACGAAAGGUGGGUCGAGGAACGUGCCUCGAAUGUACAAGUAAGUUUUCACUUUUCAUUAAAUAUUUUCAUUUACUUUUAUAUAAAUUUUGAAAUACUAAUUCAAUUUACUCUUUCUUAUAGGAUCGCUUAAGAGUUGAAGCUGAUGAAUUCAUACGCAACCAGUCACCUUGUGAGUCGGGCGAGCCAUUCGAACUUUCGGCCGAGGAUAUUGAAAGAUUAUGGACGCGGGCUGCAGGCGGUCCAAAAUGCGGGAAGGUAUACGGCCUUCCUACUAAGACACUCUAUCGUUAUAGGUGUGGAGUGCAAGGAAUAGGGACUUCCUCACAAGCCGAGCAACUUGAUGGGGAGAGCUCUCCUCUAUGCGGGAGACUGUGUCAAAGCUCACAUCCGAGCUAGAAGAGUCCAAGAAAAUAGAAAAGCUUAGAGAUGCUCAGUAUGUUGGCGUGGUCACUCAGUUCCAGAACAUGCAAGAGUAGAUAAAAUAUCUCCUAGCUGGAUCUUUUUCGAUUCCUCGGUCUCGGUCAUCAUCGCUAGAGGCUGCCGUCCCCGUGCUCGUUCGUCCCGUCCUCCAAGAGGUCGUUCCUCCCGUCCUCCCCAUGAUCAUUCUUGCCGUCAUCGGCAAGUAAACCCUUCUCAAUACCGUGAUGAUGAUGAUGACGAUGAAAGUUCAUCAGACAAUGAUUGUAUUGAUGUAUCAAACAAUGAAUGAAUUGUAGAUAAUUUUAACUAGACAAAUACAAUUUAUUUUCCAUUGGGUUGUAAUAAGAGUUAACAUAAUAGCUUGAUAGUUUGAAUGUUUUCCAUUGGUAGUUCUAUUGAAAUUAACACUUUCUUGGUUUUAAUGUAGCUUUUAAUGUUAUUUUUGUAUAGUUGGGUUAUUGUUUGGUAUUAUUAUUGUAAUCGUUAUUUGAAUUGUUGUUGUUGUUGCUUGUUAGGGUUUUGGUAUGACUGGCAGGUGGUGUAGCUGCCAAAACAGACAGUUUCUGCCAAAAUAAUACACAGAAAAGCGACCAGAGUUGGUCUCUAGUUGGUCACUUUUCAAGUUAAAAACAAUUUUCUGGAAAAUAGCGACCAAAGAUUUCUUAAAAAAGCGACCAACGUUGGUCGCUAUCUCAUUAAAAAAAUCUGCUAAUAUAGAGACCAGAUUUGGUCCCUAUUUUUUAAAAAUUAAAUUAAAUUCAUGUAAUUAGGGACCAAUGAUGGUCGCUAAACUAAUAAAUAAAUAAAUAAUUGAAUAAAAUAGUGACCAAUAAUGGUCUCUAGUUUCCAUAUUUUAAAAUACAAUUUGUAGAUUAGAGACCAAAGUUGGUCUCUAUUGUCAACAUCCGGAAAAAUGGGUCCAUUUAGAGUAGAGACCAAAGUUGGUCGCUAAUUAGCGACCAAAUUUGGUCCCUAAAUAAAAAGGACCAUCAAUAUAGCUACCAGACCACUUUGGUCGCUUUUUGGUCGCUUUUUAGCCAAAAAGCGACCAACUUUGGUCGCUUUUUCCCGAAUUUCUAGUAGUGGGAAGACCGUACAAUUAGCAAAACGGCACAUCCCGGAAUCUAAGUAUUUUUAAUAUAUACAUUUAUGAGGGCCCCACAGUUUACAUUUUUUAUUUGGCGAGGCUCAUCUCAUUUUAUUAUUUAAAAGACAAAGCUAUAGCAACUAUGAUUUUCUAUUUUAUUUGUAUCCAAGCCAAUUUAUUUAAAACAUUAUACUGAAUAAACUUAUACCCAAAGUUUCAUCAGUAAUUAAACCAACAUGAGUAUUACCGCCUAAUCAUUCCAAAAUAGAUGAUGAGAGUAGUAAAAUUAACAACAAAUAUUAUAUUUAACAACAAAUACUCACAGCAAAUAUCAUAUUCAACACAUGUAAUUUCAGAUCCAUAUUAUUAAACAGGACCAAACAAAUUUAUUUCAAACAAGCCAUGGAUGGACAUAUGAGAGUAGUAAAAUUAGAGAGAUGAGGUAUAAUAACCGAUCUUACUAUCAAAAUCAAUUGAAACUGACCGUAGACUUCGAAUGGCGACCUCGACGGAACCUCGUCGAACUUUAAUCGGACUGACUCACUUGUCCUCCGCUUAUCGUUACUGUUUUUCGAACCCCAGCCAGCUAUGGUGAACGGGUGGUCGUUUGGAGGUGGUCGACUGGAGUUUGGUCGUGAGGGAGUGGUCGACGGGAGGGAAACGGUUCAGCGUGGCUGUUGCUGUUGCUGGACGAACGGAGGCGUGGGUGGUUGGGGACGACGAUGAAGAUCGUUUGUUGCUGGAUGACGCAGCAGGUUCAAGUGUGACGGGUGGUGAGGGACUGAUUGGGACGUGAGGCAGCAGGUUGAGAAGCGACUGAGAUGGGGAUGAGGAUGAGGACGGUGGUCGUGUGGUUGGCGUGACAGUAGGGGACUGUUUGGGACGGAGGGGUUCGGGCGUUGCUGGAGGUUUUUAGUUUGUUUUUGUCUUCUUCAAAAUGAAGAAGAAAGUUCAACAGUCCUCCUCCUCUAGUUGUGUAUAUGUGUGUGUUAUUUAUAUCAGGAAAAUAAAGAGACACCCCUCCCCCAAGAAAAACGUGACCAGCCCUUUUCUUUUCAAUUUUUUUUUUGCUGUGCAAAAUCCCUUUUUCUCUUUCUUUUCC